rnacentral:rRNA from 1 species
GACGAACGCUGGCGGCGUGCUUAACACAUGCGAGUCGAACGGAAAGGCCCUGCUUUUGUGGGGUGCUCGAGUGGCGAACGGGUGAGUAACACGUGAGUAACCUGCCCUUGACUUUGGGAUAACUUCAGGAAACUGGGGCUAAUACCGGAUAGGAGCUCCUGCUGCAUGGUGGGGGUUGGAAAGUUUCGGCGGUUGGGGAUGGACUCGCGGCUUAUCAGCUUGUUGGUGGGGUAGUGGCUUACCAAGGCUUUGACGGGUAGCCGGCCUGAGAGGGUGACCGGCCACAUUGGGACUGAGAUACGGCCCAGACUCCUACGGGAGGCAGCAGUGGGGAAUAUUGCACAAUGGGCGGAAGCCUGAUGCAGCAACGCCGCGUGCGGGAUGACGGCC